AGAGUUUGAUCAUGGCUCAGGACGAACGCUGGCGGCGUGCCUAAUACAUGCAAGUCGAACGAAGCUUUCUUUCACCGAAUGCUUGCAUUCACCGAAAGAAGCUUAGUGGCGAACGGGUGAGUAACACGUAGGCAACCUGCCCAAAAGAGGGGGAUAACACUUGGAAACAGGUGCUAAUACCGCAUAACCAUGAACACCGCAUGAUGUUCGUGUAAAAGACGGCUUUUGCUGUCACUUUUGGAUGGGCCUGCGGCGUAUUAACUUGUUGGUGGGGUAACGGCCUACCAAGGUGAUGAUACGUAGCCGAACUGAGAGGUUGAUCGGCCACAUUGGGACUGAGACACGGCCCAAACUCCUACGGGAGGCAGCAGUAGGGAAUCUUCCACAAUGGACGAAAGUCUGAUGGAGCAACGCCGCGUGAAUGAAGAAGGCCUUCGGGUCGUAAAAUUCUGUUGUCAGAGAAGAAUGUGCGUGAGAGUAACUGUUCACGUAUUGACGGUAUCUGACCAGAAAGCCACGGCUAACUACGUGCCAGCAGCCGCGGUAAUACGUAGGUGGCAAGCGUUGUCCGGAUUUAUUGGGCGUAAAGGGAACGCAGGCGGUCUUUUAAGUCUGAUGUGAAAGCCUUCGGCUUAACCGAAGUAGUGCAUUGGAAACUGGAAGACUUGAGUGCAGAAGAGGAGAGUGGAACUCCAUGUGUAGCGGUGAAAUGCGUAGAUAUAUGGAAGAACACCAGUGGCGAAAGCGGCUCUCUGGUCUGUAACUGACGCUGAGGUUCGAAAGCGUGGGUAGCAAACAGGAUUAGAUACCCUGGUAGUCCACGCCGUAAACGAUGAGUGCUAAGUGUUGGAGGGUUUCCGCCCUUCAGUGCUGCAGCUAACGCAUUAAGCACUCCGCCUGGGGAGUACGGUCGCGAGACUGAAACUCAAAGGAAUUGACGGGGGCCCGCACAAGCGGUGGAGCAUGUGGUUUAAUUCGAAGCAACGCGAAGAACCUUACCAGGUCUUGACAUCUUCUGACAAUUCCAGAGAUGGAACGUUCCCUUCGGGGACAGAAUGACAGGUGGUGCAUGGUUGUCGUCAGCUCGUGUCGUGAGAUGUUGGGUUAAGUCCCGCAACGAGCGCAACCCUUAUUGUCAGUUGCCAUCAUUAAGUUGGGCACUCUGGCGAGACUGCCGGUGACAAACCGGAGGAAGGUGGGGAUGACGUCAAAUCAUCAUGCCCCUUAUGACCUGGGCUACACACGUGCUACAAUGGACGGUACAACGAGUCGCUAACUCGCGAGGGCAAGCUAAUCUCUUAAAGCCGUUCUCAGUUCGGAUUGCAGGCUGCAACUCGCCUGCAUGAAGUCGGAAUCGCUAGUAAUCGCGAAUCAGCAUGUCGCGGUGAAUACGUUCCCGGGCCUUGUACACACCGCCCGUCACACCAUGAGAGUUUGUAACACCCAAAGUCGGUGGGGUAACCUUUUGGAGCCAGCCGCCUAAGGUGGGACAGAUGACUGGGGUGAAGUCGUAACAAGGUA
rnacentral:rRNA from 1 species